rnacentral:rRNA from 1 species
AACGCGAAGAACCUUACCUGGGCUCGAAAUGCUAGUGAAUCCGGCAGAAACGUCGGCGUCUCGCAAGAGACACUAGUAUAGGUGCUGCAUGGCUGUCGUCAGCUCGUGUCGUGAGAUGUUGGGUUAAGUCCCGCAACGAGCGCAACCCUUAUCUUCAGUUGCUACCAUUUAGUUGAGCACUCUGACGAAACCGCCUCGGAUAACGGGGAGGAAGGUGGGGAUGACGUCAAGUCCUCAUGGCCUUUAUGUCCAGGGCUACACACGUGCUACAAUGGCCGGUACAAACCGCUGCAACCCCGCGAGGGUGAGCUAAUCGGAAAAAGCCGGCCUCAGUUCGGAUUGGAGUCUGCAACUCGACUCCAUGAAGCUGGAAUCGCUAGUAAUCGUGGAUCAGCAUGCCACGGUGAAUACGUUCCCGGGCCUUGUACACACCGCGCAUA